GACGUAGGGCGCGAGCGUUGUCCGGAUUUAUUGGGCGUAAAGAGCUCGUAGGCGGCUUGUUGCGUCAGCUGUGAAAACCCGCAGCUCAACUCCGUGCCUGCAGUCGAUACGGGCAGACUAGAGUUCGGUAGGGGAGACUGGAAUUCCUGGUGUAGCGGUGAAAUGCGCAGAUAUCAGGAGGAACACCGAUGGCGAAGGCAGGUCUCUGGGCCACUACUGACGCUGAGAAGCGAAAGCAUGGGGGAGCGAACAGG
rnacentral:rRNA from 1 species